rnacentral:rRNA from 1 species
UACAGAGGGUGCAAGCGUUAAUCGGAAUCACUGGGCGUAAGGGGUGCGUAGGCGGGUCUUUAAGUCAGGGGUGAAAUCCUGGAGCUCAACUCCAGAACUGCCUUUGAUACUGAAGAUCUUGAGUUCGGGAGAGGUGAGUGGAACUGCGAGUGUAGAGGUGAAAUUCGUAGAUAUUCGCAAGAACACCAGUGGCGAAGGCGGCUCACUGGCCCGAUACUGACGCUGAGGCACGAAAGCGUGGGGAGCAAACAGGG